CAUAGGAUUCACUGUGGAAGAGGACUGUCAGCGCUUUCUUCUUCUCCCACAUAUUUGGGCAAUAAAAUGACUCUGCAGAUUUCUUACUUAAACAAAGAGUGAGUCUUGUCUCAAUGCAAUUAUUGCACUGCCACCUUGUAUGAUGUAUUUAGGUUUCUUGUCUGUCGCCCUCUCUCAAAUACCAGCUCCACGAGGGUAAGUUGUUUUGUCUGGUAUGUUAACUGCUGUGCCUGCAGAGCUCAA